AGUCCCGCCCCCGGCCUGCGGGCACUUCCGGGACCGCUCUACGCCGUGCGGAGGUCCUGGCAUCUCGGUGGUCCCACCGCCUUAGUGCGGACGGCUCUUAACAACCCAGAAGCUAGGGCAAAGGAAUCGGAUCAGAAAAGGCUCUCUGAUGAGAGGAGUGACUCGCCGCCGUGGGAAAAACAGAGCUGCGCCACUGUUGGCCGGAGUGCAGAAGAAAAACUGAGGCCAGGAAAAGCGGGCACCUGCUGCCCCUGCGCGGCGUCUAAGUGCGAGACAGGCGCCACCCAUCCAGGAGUCUGAUGUUUUGAGAAGAGGAAACGACCCCCAGAGUUCUCAAGAAGUCCUCUUUGCAUUCUCCUUCUCUCGAGGGUACCGUAGUCCUCUUUCCCCUCCCUACUCCCACAGAGACAGAUUGGGGGUGUGGCUGGGAGUGUAGCCUGGACCCUGGAGCCUCUAAUUUCUGUGUCAAGAUGCUGAACUCCACACAUGUGGCGCCUCUUAGGGACACCAGAAAGGAAGGAAGGGGAGCUUGUUUUGUUUUUGUGCUUCUAGGGAUCUAUCCCAGGACUUCCUGCCUUUGGAAGCCACACAUGCCCCAGUUCCAGACACAGCUCCACCUCUGAGGGGACCUUCCCAGGUCAGUGCGAUCCCCCACUCCACCCCAAGGUCAGCCAGGCCAUGGGAAGGCUCACCUGUCAGGAAGGCUCCCAUCAGCAGGAGAACCAGGCACUGGGAACAAGCCAUGACCAGAGGCAGAGAAACAGGCAGGGAGAUGUUCUGCUGGACUGUGCUCCACGUGCGAGUAGCGGCACAGGACUGAGAAGACCGCUGGACCACAAAAAAGCAUGCAAAUUAACCAUUGACUGAGGAAGGAGAGGUGUGGCUAGGGCCAAUAGCCUGGUCCCAUCUUCCCAAAUGUCAAGGUCCUGGUGGGCAGAAACUCGCAAAUCCUUAAGAGCUAUUAUAGCAGGAGGUUGAGACCUGCUUUAGUUUUUGUAGCACUGGGGAUCAGCCCAGGGUCUCAAACAUGCCGGGCAAAUGCUAUACCACUGAGCUAGAGCCCUGGCCCCAGAAUCUACUUUUGUAUGGAAGUACAAGUAGAAUAUGGGGAAGUAUGCAAACCUUAAACAAAAUAGGUCAGUGAUUUUAUAUAACAUACAUGUGUACACACAGAGCACUGUAAUCUCCAUCUGGAUCAAGACUUAGAACAUUUCCAGCCGGGCGUGAUGGCACACACACACUCUGAGAGGCUGAGGCAAGAAGAUUACAAAUUUGAGCAGCACGGGCAGCUUAAUGACUUAGUGAGACCCCGCCUCAAAAAAAAGGGAGGGGGGCGGGGCUGAGGAUGUAGCUCAGGCCAUUCCCAGUACUAAAAGAAGAAAAAGAAGCAAAAGAAAGAGAAGAAAGGGGAAAAAAAGGAAGAAGUUAAUUUGUGUGUCUCCAGAGGCAACUCUUCCUCACUGUUCUAGGGUAAUAUUCUAUCCCUACUAUACCUUGAAUCUAGAAUGUCUCUCAAAGGCCUAUUGUUAAAGACUUGGUCCAAGAGAAAAAAGGCCAACUGACCGUGAAACCUCCAGACUGUGAGCAAAAUAAACCUUUUCUACUUAUAAGAUGUUUAUCUCAGGUCUUACACCCUUCGUUAUAAUGAUGGAAAGGUUAAUGUCCAAGGAAACCACUAUUCUGCCUUCUAUCACUUUAGAAUUAUUUUACCUACUCCAGAAUUUCUACUACAAAUAGAAUUGUUGGGAUAAAAUUAUAGUGUAAGGGCACACGUGUAGACUAACAAACUUACAGGUAUUUCAGAGCACAAGCUAGAGAUGAAUAGUAGCCUCUGCCUAGGCUGUACCUUGUCACAUAGCCACUCCGAUGAAUUCAGCCAGCCUUGACAGUCUGGGCUCAGCUGCUUUUCUUCUGAUAACAUGCUGGGCCCAUUUGACUUGUCCAGCUUAUGUUUCCCUUACCUAAGAAAAUAUAUUGCUCCUAACUGGCUUCAAGGACUUUGAUUGGGAUGAAGUAACCAGUCAAAAAUACUUUUUAACUCUGCUAGUUUUGCUUGAAUCCUCUUCCUUCACCUCCAAAAUGUUCCUCCAUUAUGAUAAACAAUUCCUUUUAAUGUAGAGUCAGUUUACCUGACAAUGUAUGAUUUAAUUCAAUCCAUAUAACCAAUCUAGUAACACCUCGUACUUCCUGCUUGCAAAUUGUAUUUAAACUGAACAAGGAUCUGCUUUGGUAUUGAUGAUUUGGAACUAAGAUUUCCAUCAGCCCGCUAGCAUAAUAAACAAGUUGUCUUCUA